rnacentral:rRNA from 1 species
UACGUAGGGUGCGAGCGUUAAUCGGAAUUACUGGGCGUAAAGCGUGCGCAGGCGGUUCGUUAAGUCAGAUGUGAAAGCCCCGGGCUCAACCUGGGAACUGCAUUGGUGACUGCAUUGCUAGAGUAUGGCAGAGGGGGGUGGAAUUCCACGUGUAGCAGUGAAAUGCGUAGAGAUGUGGAGGAACACCGAUGGCGAAGGCAGCCCCCUGGGCCAAUACUGACGCUCAUGCACGAAAGCGUGGGGAGCAAACAGG